AGUUUGAUCAUGGCUCAGAUUGAACGCUGGCGGCAUGCCUUACACAUGCAAGUCGAACGGCAGCACGGGGAGCUUGCUCCUUGUGGCGAGUGGCGAACGGGUGAGUAAUACAUCGGAACGUACCCUGAAGUGGGGGAUAACGUAGCGAAAGUUACGCUAAUACCGCAUAUUCUGUGAGCAGGAAAGAGGGGGAUCGCAAGACCUCUUGCUUUAGGAGCGGCCGAUGUCGGAUUAGCUAGUUGGUGAGGUAAAGGCUCACCAAGGCGACGAUCCGUAGCGGGUCUGAGAGGAUGAUCCGCCACACUGGGACUGAGACACGGCCCAGACUCCUACGGGAGGCAGCAGUGGGGAAUUUUGGACAAUGGGCGCAAGCCUGAUCCAGCCAUGCCGCGUGAGUGAAGAAGGCCUUCGGGUUGUAAAGCUCUUUCGGUGGGGAAGAAAUUGCUUCGGUUAAUACCUGGAGUAGAUGACGGUACCCGCAUAAGAAGCACCGGCUAACUACGUG
rnacentral:rRNA from 1 species